rfam:Brachypodium distachyon strain Bd21 chromosome 2, whole genome shotgun sequence.
CUUAUACUCCCUCCGUCCCAUAUUAAGUGACUCAAAUUUGCCCAAAUAGGGAUGUAUCUAUACCUAAAAAGCGUCUAGAUACAUGUAAUAGAAAGUUAAUUAAUAUAGGACGGAGGCAGUAUAAU